rnacentral:rRNA from 1 species
CUACGGGGCGCAGCAGUGGGGAAUUUUGCGCAAUGGGGGAAACCCUGACGCAGCAAUACCGCGUGAGUGAAGAAGGCCUUUGGGUCGUAAAGCUCUUUUCUUGGGGAAGAUAGUGACGGUACCCAAGGAAUAAGCACCGGCUAACUCCGUGCCAGCAGCCGCGGUAAUACGGAGGGUGCAAGCGUUGUUCGGAUUUACUGGGCGUAAAGGGCACGUAGGCGGCACAGCAAGUUAAGGGUGAAAUCCCGGGGCUCAACUCCGGAACUGCUCUUAAAACUGCUGAGCUAGAGAUAGUCAGAGGCGGGUGGAAUUCCAGGUGUAGAGGUGAAAUUCGUAGAUAUCUGGAGGAACACCGGUGGCGAAGGCGGCCCGCUGGGGCUAUUCUGACGCUAAGGUGCGAGAGCGUGGGGAGCAAACGGGAUUAGAUACCCCCGUAGUC